UACGUAGGGGGCAAGCGUUAUCCGGAUUUACUGGGUGUAAAGGGAGCGUAGACGGCAGUGCAAGUCCGGAGUGAAAGCCCGGGGCUCAACCCUGGGACUGCUCUGGAAACUGUAAAGCUGGAGUGCGGGAGGGGCAGGCGGAAUUCCUGGUGUAGCGGUGAAAUGCGUAGAUAUCAGGAGGAGCACCGGCGGCGAAGGCGGCCUGCUGGACCGUAACUGACGUUGAGGCUCGAAAGCGUGGGGAGCAAACAGG
rnacentral:rRNA from 1 species